CAACCUCAACUCAUAUGGGACUACCCCCUGAAUUUAAGCAUAUUAAUUAGGGGAGGAAAAGAAACUAACAAGGAUUUUCUUAGUAGCGGCGAGCGAAAAGAAAUCAGUUCAGCACUAAGUCACUUUGUCUAUAUGGCAAAUGUGAGAUGCAGUGUACGGAACAUCAACAUUCUAGUAUGAGAAGUUAACGAUUUAAGUCCUUCUUAAAUGAGGCCAUUUACCCAUAGAGGGUGCCAGGCCCGUAUAACGUUAAUGAUUACUAGAUGGUGUUUCCAAAGAGUCGUGUUGCUUGAUAGUGCAGCACUAAGUGGGUGGUAAACUCCAUCUAAAACUAAAUAUAACCAUGAGACCGAUAGUAAACAAGUACCGUGAGGGAAAGUUGAAAAGAACUCUGAAUAGAGAGUUAAAUAGUACGUGAAACUGCUUAGAGGUUAAGCCCGAUGAACCUGAAUAUCCGUUAUGGAAAAUUCAUCAUUAGAAUUGUAAUAUUUUAAACAAUAUUAUAAUAAUAGUGUGCAUUUUUUCCAUAUAAGGACAUUGUAAUCUAUUAGCAUAAAUAUUUAUCAUAAA
rnacentral:ncRNA from 1 species